rnacentral:rRNA from 1 species
UACGAGGGGGGCAAGCGUUGUUCGGAAUUAUUGGGCGUAAAGGGCGCGUAGGCGGUGCGGUAAGACUGUGGUGAAAUCUUCGGGCUCAACUCGAAGCCUGCCGCGGUGACUGCCGUGCUGGAGUGUGGGAGAGGUGAGUGGAAUUCCCGGUGUAGCGGUGAAAUGCGUAGAUAUCGGAAGGAACACCUGUGGCGAGAGCGGCUCACUGGACCACUACUGACGCUGAUGCGCGAAAGCUAGGGGAGCAAACAGG